rnacentral:rRNA from 1 species
CCCUCCCUCUGGCGGCAGGCCUAACACAUGCAAGUCGAGCGCCCCGCAAGGGGAGCGGCGGACGGGUGAGUAACGCGUGGGAACGUACCCUUUGCUACGGAAUAGCCUCGGGAAACUGGGAGUAAUACCGUAUGUGUCCUUCGGGAGAAAGAUUUAUCGGCAAGGGAUCGGCCCGCGUUGGAUUAGGUAGUUGGUGGGGUAAUGGCCUACCAAGCCGACGAUCCAUAGCUGGUUUGAGAGGAUGAUCAGCCACACUGGGACUGAGACACGGCCCAGACUCCUACGGGAGGCAGCAGUGGGGAAUCUUAGACAAUGGGCGCAAGCCUGAUCUAGCCAUGCCGCGUGAGCGAUGAAGGCCUUAGGGUUGUAAAGCUCUUUCAGGGGGGAAGAUAAUGACUGUACCCCCAGAAGAAGCCCCGGCUAACUCCGUG